rnacentral:rRNA from 1 species
UACGUAGGUGGCAAGCGUUGUCCGGAAUUAUUGGGCGUAAAGCGUGCGCAGGCGGCUUUGCAAGACAGAUGUGAAAUCCCCGGGCUUAACCUGGGAACUGCAUUUGUGACUGCAUGGCUGGAGUGCGGCAGAGGGGGAUGGAAUUCCGCGUGUAGCAGUGAAAUGCGUAGAUAUGCGGAGGAACACCGAUGGCGAAGGCAAUCCCCUGGGCCUGCACUGACGCUCAUGCACGAAAGCGUGGGGAGCAAACAGG